rnacentral:rRNA from 1 species
AUUGAACGCUGGCGGCAGGCUUAACACAUGCAAGUCGAACGAGUGGCGGACGGGUGAGUAAUGCUUGGGAAUCUAGCUUAUGGAGGGGGAUAACUACGGGAAACUGUAGCUAAUACCGCGUAAAAUAGGAUGAGACCAAGUGGGAUUAGGUAGUUGGUGGGGUAAAGGCUAACAAAGCCGACGAUCUCUAGCUGGGCUGAGAGGAUGACCCGCCACACUGGGACUGAGACACUGCCCAGCCUCCUACGGGAGGCAGCAGUGGGGAAUAUUGCGCAAUGGGGGCAACCUGACGCAGCCAUGCCGCGUUAAUGAAGAAGGCCUUCGGGUUGUAAAGUUCUUUCGGUAGCGAGGCGUUAACUACAGAAGAAGCACCGGCUAACUCCGUGCCAGCCGCCGCGGUAAUUC